GCAACAACCCACUUGGGUUCCCUUUCACACUGUGGAAGCUUUGUUCUUUUGCUCUUCACAAUGAAUCUUGCUGCUCCUCAUUCUUUGGGUCUGCAUCAACUUUAAGAGCUGUAACACUCACCGUGAGGGUCUGCAGCUUCAUUCUUGAAGUCAGCAAGACCACAAAUCCACCGGAAGGAACAAACUCUGGUCACAUCUUGGCAACUAAGAAGGGACUAUCACCAAGCGCUCCUUGGCCUAGCUGCUGAUGGUUGAUGAGGCCCAGGGCCUUCAGCCCCAUCUGCUAUCACUGCAUUGGAGCCCAGGGUAACUCUACUAGUAGCAGGUAAGCCAAUCUUUUUUUUAAAUCAAUACCGAGGCCACCUACCUGGCUUUGCCUGAAUUUUCGGGACCAACUCAUCCCUCUCAGGUCUCAGUUGUGGGAGUUAAUGGACUCCUCUCAUGUACACGUGCCACUAGACUUCUUGCUUUUUCCUUAUUUAAUAUUGUUUUUUCUCACUCUUUCCUUAUCAUGCCUCAUUGUCCUACCCCCAUUCUAGACUGAGACCUUUUAGCCAAAUUCAAGGCUUCUAUCUCAUUUUCCUGGCUCCCUCAACCAGAGUCCCUCCUGCUCCUCUCCAUUAGUCCGGCCCCUGACCCCUCUCCCCAGCACCCACUUUCCACCUCUCUCAUUAUCCCAGUAGUGUAGCACACUGCCCUAGCUGCUUACCAUGACCCCAUUAAAAUCCACUUAAAUGACCCUUCUAACUUUCUCAAUGUCCCUCAAUAUCCUAUCUCACUGAUUCAUCAGAGGGGCCUACAACCCAUCAUAAGCAAACUCCUCUUGUGCAGCCUCCUCAAACCAACCCAUUUUCCAUGUAAUACUCUCAUACUCCCUGUCAAAAAGACAGAUGGCUGUUAUCAACUAGUCCAAGACCUCCAAUCUAUUAAUCAGGCAGUCCUAACCAUCCAUCCAGUAGUUCCUAAUCUCUACACACUUCUUUCCCUUGUUGCUCCCAACACAACCCACUACAUUACAAUUGAUCUAAAAAAUGCCUUCUUUACCAUUCCCCUUCACCUUGACUCCCAAGAUCUCUUUGCCUUCACCUGGCCUGACCCUAAAACCCUCGUCACAACAACUUACUUAGACAGUCCUUCCUCAAGGCUUUAGAGACAAUCCUCCUUUCUUUAGAUAAGCUGUAGCUCAAAACCUCACCUCCCUAAACCUCUCCCCUAGUCAGCUCCUUCACUAUGUAAAUGACCUCCUUCUCUGUAGUCCUUCCCCAAAGAAAACUCAGAAUCACACUAUCUCAUUCUACUAAGUUUUCUUGCUAAUAAAGGAUAUAAGGUUUCUCCUUCCAAAGCACAACUCUCCUCCCCAACAGUAACAUAUUUAGGAAUCCAACUUUCACCCAGGGCCCAAGCCAUGACCCCAGCGUGGGCAGCCUUAAUAGAUAGCCUGCCUCUAUCCGCCUCUAAAAAUAAAAUCCUUUCCUUUUGGGGGUUAGCAGGCUUCUUCAAAAUAUAAAUUCCCAACUUUGCCCUGUUAGCCCACCCCUUUAUCAAGCAGCCAAAGGCCCUUUAAAUGAGCCUCCAAAUCCUUCCCACAACAUAAUCCCUAGCUUCCACAAACAUAAAGCUACUCUUGUAACCACCCCUACUCUAUCUCUGCCAAACAUUUCUCAGGUGUGAUGAGGUCUAGCCUCUGGGGUUCUGUAGGGUUACUGCAGCCAGGGAAUCUAAAUGGUUUUGUAAAUGAGUGAUGGAAUUAGCAAUUCCAUCAGCCCUUCAUUAUCUAUUACAGCCAAACGCCAAGAAAUAGCCCUCAGUGUUCUUGGCCAACAAAAGGGAAAUCUUCCUUCCUUUGCUCCUGUAGCCUAUCUUUCUAAACAACUAGAGUGUACCACCAAAAGAUGGCCAACUUGCCUCAGAGCCCUAGCGGCAGCCACCACCCUGGCAUUAAAAAGCAAAACAACGUAACAUUUGGUCAACACACCACCAUCCACAGCCCACAUAACCUACAAGACAUACUCUCUUGCAAAGUGCUCAGUGUCCUUUCUCCAUCCUAUAUCCAACUACUCCAUGCUCUGUUUCUUAAAAACCCUGAGUUCUACCUUUCCAAAAGCACUCCCCUCAACCCUGCAUCUACUCCCAGUAUCUUCCUCGCCUCCCACCAACUCCUGUACCAAUAUCCUUAAUCACCUGCAACUUCAUUUCCCUAAUAUCUCUCCUAUUAACGACUCCUCUUCCAAGUCCAUUGCCAAAGCUGAACCAAGCCCCUCCAAAUAAGGAACUUACACACUCCAACACCUAUUCUCAAUCCACUCAUCUGUUUAUAUUAACAUCUCAGGCGUCUUCUUCUUCUUUGGAUCUACAACCUACUUUUGUCUCCCUACCAAUUGGACAGGUACUUGCACCCUAAUUUACCCCCACCAUUAACAUUGUUCCCCCAGACCAAGACCUCCCUGUCCCUGCCAUGCUUCAUGCCGGCCCCAAAAAAGCAAUACAGUCCAUUCCCUUAUUAGCUGCACUUGGAGCUACAGCUACGGUCAGGUUAAGAGCAGGAAUCCUAGGAACAUCAUUGUCAUACUUUCGGACACUUUCUUAAGAUCUCCAAUCCACUCUAGAAAAAAAUUGCUAAUUCCAUCACUCAUUUACAAAACUAUUUAGAUUCCCUGGCUGCAGUAACCCUAUAGAACCCCAGAGGCUAGAUCUCCUCACACCUGAAAAAAGAGGUAUGUCUCUUUCUCGAUGAACAGUGUUGUUUCUACCUCAGUAAGUCUGGGGUAGUUCAAAAUGCUGUCAAAAAACUCAAAGACCAAGCUCAAAAACUCCAAAAUAACCAUUCUAACUGGCUUCAAUGGCUACAAUACUCCUGGGCACCCUGGCUAUUGCCUCUUCUUGGCCCCACAAUAGGGCUGUUUCUCCUGCUAGCUUUCGGACCCUGUCUUUUAUGCCUCCUAAUCCAGCUCUUGCAGGACUGGAUCAAAGCCUUCAUACACAGCACCUUACAGGACAUAAUGCUCCUCCAAAAAUGAUAGAAACUGUAUAAGUAGCCAUACCCAACCUUCAUCCCCAUUCAGUAAGAGGUAGCCUGAUGACCACAAAGCUCCUUUUUCCUAAAAUUAAUAAAAGGAAUGUUAGGUGAAACUUAGCCACCUGUUUCUGCAAGGAUCCCCACUCCCGAUUUCCUUUAGGUGUUAUGUAACCUGAGCUACAAAUAAUGCAGCACUGUUAGAAUUUAGCAAAACAACUCCAGGAUGUGGUUUUACUCAGAAUGUAUGCCAUGCCAGCCCCCACAGUCAAACCCCAUAAAGCCCCCCCUAGUGUGUCAACUCAGGGCUGCCUCCUCUGUUUACUGUGGAGCAGACCGGCAGGUUAAUAAAACUUGCUUGCCUGACUUUGGGUCCGUUCAUUCUUUCUCCCGGCUAACCUUUCAUAUCUAUCAACAAAUAAAAGUAAUACAUGGCUUAUGCACACAAUGGAAUAGUCUUAUAAGAAAAUUAUGACACAUGCUACAAAAUGAAUGAGUGUCAAAGUCAAUACAUUAAAUGAAACAAGCCAGUCACCAAAUAAAAAAUAUUGUGUGAUUCCACUCAUGUAAGUAAUCAAAUUCACACAGACAGGAAGUGGAAUAUUUGUUGCCAGAUAGGGGCAUAAGAAGGGAUAGGAAAGCAUUGCCUAAUUGGUUUAAAUUUCUAGUUUGGAAAGGUGAAAAUGUUCUGGAGACCGAUGGUGAUGAUGGUUGCCAAUGUGAAUGUACUUAAUGCCACUGAAUUUACACCUAAAGUAGUUAGAACUGUAAAUUUUAUGUUGUGUUGUGUUUUAUCACAAUCAAAAACUAGUUUCUAUGAAGGGGAUAAAAUCUGAGUGUAAAUUAUCAUCAAAAGAGAAACAAGAUAGAAAUAAAAGAGAUUUGUAUUAGGCAAGCCUGAGAAUGUAAUGAGGAAAGAAGAAAAAUCAGUUAUAGUAAUGAUGACAUUAAUUGAAACUUGAUUGUAAAUAAGGUGUGAUAAUUUUUUAAUUGUCAUCUUAAUAUAAAUAGCCUAUUUUAG
rnacentral:lncRNA from 1 species